rnacentral:rRNA from 1 species
CCUACGGGAGGCAGCAGUGAGGAAUAUUGGUCAAUGGACGAGAGUCUGAACCAGCCAAGUAGCGUGCAGGAUGACGGCCCUAUGGGUUGUAAACUGCUUUUAUAGGGGGAUAAAGUGUGCCACGUGUGGCAUAUUGCAGGUACCCUAUGAAUAAGGACCGGCUAAUUCCGUGCCAGCAGC